rnacentral:sRNA from 1 species
GAUGAUGGCCUCCCAGAAAAUGAACAUCAGCUGUCAGUAGCUGGAAAGAUAAAGAAGCAUUUCAACACAGGCCCCAAGCCGAAUAGCACAGCAGCUGGAGUUUCUGUCAUAGCACUGGACCACGGGUUUACCAUCAAGAGAUCAGGGUCUUUGGACUACUACCAGCAACCAGGAAUGUAUUGGAUAAGGUAUGAGAUGGUGCAGCUCAACAGUCAGUGUUUCCAUGGCAACGUGCUGGCAGUCUCCAUUAACCAGUUCCUUCGGUGGAUAAACAUGCUUUUGAUUUGUUAUCCAGUCCAUAUGCUGCUUUAUCAGUUUCAUUUUAAUCUUGAUUGAGAUGCCACACCCCCUCAUUCCUUUUUUUCACCCAUUAUUCACACUGACAUUUGCCAGCUUUCUUUCCAUUGCACAUGCUCAGUAUCAAUUUUCCUUAUGGUUAAAAGGACAGUAUAUUUAGUGCUAAUGCCAAAGCAUUUUCCUGAUGUUGCUAAUUAAAACAAUGAUUUCCAGUGCUCUUCUGUCCCUUAACAAAUGGAAGAACA